GUGCCCUCUAGUGGCAUAAAGGAGAAACGAGCUUUGUUUACCAUGUGUUUGAAGAUGUUACAGACGAUGAUGGAUAUUUAUUGAUGGUGAUUGCAGGAAAAAGUAUUUAGAUAAAAAGUAAACCAAACGACAUUUAAACAAGUCUAAUUUAAGUGAAUAUGGAAUAGAAUGAUCAUAAAGAAUACACGCAUAGUUUUUACAAAUACCAUAUUCAACAUAAUAGAAUUUUUAGUUGAAACGUAUUUAGGAUUGGGCCAUGACAGAAGCAACAAAAUCAUCUUUAACUACUAAAACAGUGAAUUGUAAAACUGAAAAAAAAAUUAAAAAUAAUGAAACAAAUUCAAGUCAAGAUUUAGUUUUAUGUUCCAGUUCUCAAAGAAGAAUUCUUAAUAAAAAUAGAUCUUCAAGUCCUGUUGUUAAUUUACGUAGAGUUUUCAGUGCACUUACACCAACUAAUAAAUCAUCAAAAGAAACAGACGGAACAGUCAGAACUAGAGCAA
rnacentral:lncRNA from 1 species